AUGGACGCAAGUCUGAUGGAGCAACGCCGCGUGAGUGAAGAAGGCUUUCGGGUCGUAAAACUCUGUUGUUGGAGAAGAAUGGUCGGCAGAGUAACUGUUGUCGGCGUGACGGUAUCCAACCAGAAAGCCACGGCUAACUACGUGCCAGCAGCCGCGGUAAUACGUAGGUGGCAAGCGUUAUCCGGAUUUAUUGGGCGUAAAGCGAGCGCAGGCGGUUUUUUAAGUCUGAUGUGAAAGCCCUCGGCUUAACCGAGGAAGUGCAUCGGAAACUGGGAAACUUGAGUGCAGAAGAGGACAGUGGAACUCCAUGUGUAGCGGUGAAAUGUGUAGAUAUAUGGAAGAACACCAGUGGCGAAGGCGGCUGUCUGGUCUGUAACUGACGCUGAGGCUCGAAAGCAUGGGUAGCGAACAGGAUUAGAUACCCUGGUAGUCCAUGCCGUAAACGAUGAAUGCUAGGUGUUGGAGGGUUUCCGCCCUUCAGUGCCGCAGCUAACGCAUUAAGCAUUCCGCCUGGGGAGUACGACCGCAAGGUUGAAACUCAAAGGAAUUGACGGGGGCCCGCACAAGCGGUGGAGCAUGUGGUUUAAUUCGAAGCAACGCGAAGAACCUUACCAGGUCU
rnacentral:rRNA from 2 species